UUUAUCAAGAUAUUGGAAUAUUUUAGUCACCUGGGCCUUAUUAAAGUAACAGUAACUGGGGCUGAUCAUUGGAGACAGGAUCUGCACCGAUUUGCUUGGGGUCCAAUUCAAGGUGCUGGUUGUCGCCUUUAAAGCCAUACAUGGCCUGGAGUCAGAUUAUUUGAAAGACCAUCUUUUCCCAAUUAAAUCUACCUGACCCACUAGAGCGGGAAAGCAGGGGAUGUUACGGUUCCCCUCUCCUAAGAAGGUCCAUCUAGUGGAACUAAGAAGAAGGGUCUUCUCUGUAGUAGAAGGAAAGAAGAUUGGCACACUUUUGAAAGGCCCUGAAGACAUGGUUUUUACCAGUAAAACUGGGGACUCCUGGAUGACAUGGAGCUCAUCAAGUGGUUGGUUUGAUCGUUGUCACCAGAAGGGUGGGGGGUUUAUUGGGUUUUGCAAUGGGCUUUUAUUUCUGUAAGCUGCCUAGAGUCACUGUGAGUUGUGUGGCUAUUAAAAUUUUCUUAAUGAAUAUAUAAUGAAAUAAAUAAUAA